GGCUCCAUAGUGUAGUGGUUAUUCUGUCUGCUUUGCACACAGAAGGUCCUGGGUUUGCACCCCAGGUAGAGCCA
rfam:Pteropus alecto contig82366, whole genome shotgun sequence.